rnacentral:lncRNA from 1 species
GCAGGAACCCAGAGAGGACUUCCAGCUGAUCUAAUGUCUGGUGUGUGACCUUGGUCGCAGCGAAGCGCUGCCAAGUGUCCCUUCCGCUGUGCCAAGGUGGAUUAAGUCAUUUUAUCAGCAGAAUUCUUCCUUUAAAAGGAUGAAGGCAAGGGGAGCAAGGGUGGCGGGCGGGGCUUCUGCCACCCUCAGCCCACACAAGCGGGACGUCGGAUCCCAGCCUUGCUCGCGAUCUUCCGCCAAAUCGGGAGGUGGCAGGGUGUUUCCAUUUGGAACUUGUAAAAAGUUCCCUGUCUCGGCAGCUGAAAGCCGUGGUUGUGGCACAGUUAGAGCUACCGACGAUUUUCACGGUAAAUGAAGCCGCAGACUGUCCUCUCGGAGGAAACCGACCCCCGGCACCGCCACCCGAACCCCGGUCCAGCCCCCGGGAGAGCCGCGCAGGGGCGAUGUCGCCACGGCGCGGGGACAGCGAGAGAAGAUGGAGUCAUCUUACUUACGUCUGCGACCACGUACCGUUUAAAAAAAAAAAAAAAAAGAAUAACUAAAACUACAACCGGAAUCCAGACUGCUAGGGAACCUGUACCAUAAAGACCAUCUUUGUUGAGGGCAAAAGUCCUAGACAGGAAGUAUUGCGACCAUCUUUGUUAAAGGCAAGAGCAGGAAGUGCUGUAGCCAUCUUUGUUGAGGGCGCAAGACGUCAGGUUGAAGUUUGUUCCGCCAUGUUUGCUGUGGGAAAAGAGGCACACUCUCCUACAUUAAAAAAGAGAGAGAGUGGUUUAAAAACUCUAAGGCAGUAGUUCUCAAUCUUCCUAAUGCUUUGACCUUGUAAUAUGGUGUCCCCCAACCAUAAAAUUAUUUUUGUUGCUACUUCAUAACUAAUUUUGCUAUGU